CAACUCAUAUGUAGAUCUUCGCCGGCUUCUUCCUUCCCCUUUGUCCGCCACGACUCCCCUGAUCUCGCCGUCCUCCUCUUUCAGAUCCCCCCUCCCCAUCCAGGGCCGCCGCCACCUGCCGAUCCAUGGUCAUCUGCCGCUCUGCGUCCUGCAACCACCGCGACGACAGCCUCGUCCCCAGAGGCGGGGACUUCCCUGAAGGUGAACCUAGUGCACGCGGCGCCGGUACCGUUGAUGCGGGUCGGGCGGCGGUCAGAUCUGCCACGGCCAGGACAGACGUCCUCUUCCUCCCUAUCCAGCUUCCUCCCAUGACUGAGAAGAGGGCUUCGUCAAGGAUCCCAUGACGGAGGUAAACGUGGGAGGCUGCUUCCUCCAAUCACAGAUCGACCAUCCGUCCAUGGAGGCCAUGAGAGCCACGUGGGCACACACAUGGCUGCGCUUCAAGAGAUGGGAGAAAUCCUGAGGCCAAACUGCGGGGAGGAUGAGGGGGUCGACAAUGGGUACAGGUUCUCAAGGUCCCAGGGCAAUGGGUACAGGUGCGGCUGGAAGCCCAUGAUCCCCAUCCAAACUGCGCAUCGAAGGGGCGGAUCCAGCGUAGGUAUAUGACCAAAAGUACUGCGUACAUGCUUGAGUUCAGACUUCAGAGAGUAUGCGGCAAGGGCACAAUGAUGAAUUCAACGCAAGAUCCUGCUGGUGAUCCAACAGAUGGGAACCCAACAGACACAAACACAUCAGGAUCCAAAGAUUUAGCUGGAAUGGACACUAGACCACGGACAAUUUAAUCUUCGCUCUUAAUUAGGAUGACACAUUCAGUAUGUUGAAUGCAUGCUAAAUUAUAUUACAGUUUAUUGUGAUGGAUAUUGGCUAAGCAAACUUUGAUGUUUGAUGAAUCUACGUCAUGUAUGCAUUAUUUGACACAUGUAAUUGAAUGCCUGUAUAUUUUUUUCUGUU